UGCACCCAUAGUUCAAUUGGUUAGAAUAUAUGCCUUCGAAGCAUAGGGUUAGGAGUUCGAGUCUCUUUGGGUGCGCCAU
rnacentral:tRNA from 3 species